rnacentral:misc_RNA from 1 species
UCUCCGUAGGUGAACCCGCGGAGGGAUCAUUACAGGGUUCAUGCCCUACCGGGUAGAUCUCCCACCCUAUGUUAUUAUUGCUUUGUUGCUUUGGCGGGCCGUUAGGCUCCGGCCCGACUACCGGCCCCGGCUGGUGAGCGCCCGCCAGAGGACCCAAAACCCUGAAUAUUAGUGUCGUCUGAGUACUAUAUAAUAGUUAAAACCUUCAACAACGGAUCUCUUGGUUCUG